AGCACAUCCACGAUCAAGGAACUGGAAAAUGAGUAAGAAACUCAAGGCAUGCAAAGAACCUUAUUAAUAAUUAAUGGGUGAAAGAAGUUUCAUGGAUUUUGAAAGAAUCUUGCACAGUUGCAUAUAUUUAAUGGUUUAAAAAAAGUAGCGAUCAUGCAAUUCUGUGGUUUCCAAUAAUGACCUUUCCUUUUUCUAAAGCUUGAUGACUGGCGGUCCAAAACAUUAAAUUUUUUCCUAUAACCAACCAAAAUAAAAAAAGAGCAGUUUUAUCAAAUGUAAUCAGUUAUAAUAUCAAACUACAAUGUAAUAAAAUCAAAGCAGAACAAUUGUCUGGCCAAA
rnacentral:misc_RNA from 1 species